GAUGAACGCUGGCGGGAGGCCUAACACAUGCAAGCCGAGCGGUAUUUGUUCUUCGGAACAGAGAGAGCGGCGCACGGGUGCGGAACACGUGUGCAACCUGCCUUUAUCUGGGGGAUAGCCUUUCGAAAGGAAGAUUAAUACCCCAUAAUAUAUUGAGUGGCAUCACUUGAUAUUGAAAACUCCGGUGGAUAGAGAUGGGCACGCGCAAGAUUAGAUAGUUGGUGAGGUAACGGCUCACCAAGUCAAUGAUCUUUAGGGGGCCUGAGAGGGUGAUCCCCCACACUGGUACUGAGACACGGACCAGACUCCUACGGGAGGCAGCAGUGAGGAAUAUUGGACAAUGGGUUAGCGCCUGAUCCAGCCAUCCCGCGUGAAGGACGACGGCCCUAUGGGUUGUAAACUUCUUUUGUAUAGGGAUAAACCUACUCUCGUGAGAGUAGCUGAAGGUACUAUACGAAUAAGCACCGGCUAACUCCGUG
rnacentral:rRNA from 1 species